AAACAAAUCUAAUAGUAGCAGCGACGC
rnacentral:guide_RNA from 1 species